rnacentral:rRNA from 1 species
GACGAACGCUGGCGGCGUGCUUAACACAUGCAAGUCGAACGGAAAGGCCCUGCUUUUGUGGGGUGCUCGAGUGGCGAACGGGUGAGUAACACGUGAGUAACCUGCCCUUGACUUUGGGAUAACUUCAGGAAACUGGGGCUAAUACCGGAUAGGAGCUCCUGCUGCAUGGUGGGGGUUGGAAAGUUUCGGCGGUUGGGGAUGGACUCGCGGCUUAUCAGCUUGUUGGUGGGGUAGUGGCUUACCAAGGCUUUGACGGGUAGCCGGCCUGAGCGGGUGACCGGCCUCAUUGGGACAGAGAUACGGCACAGACGCAUACGGGAGGCAGCAGUGGGGUAAAUAUCACUAUGGGCGGAAACAUCAUGCAGCAAGGCCGCGUGCGGGAUGACGGCCUUCGGGUUGUGAACCGCUAUCGCCUGUGACGAAGCGUGAGUGACGGUAAUGGGUAAAGAAGCACCGGCUAACUACGUG